ensembl:lncRNA
GUCGUCUUCAUACUAAAGCUUCUGCUCUGAGCUCUGAGAUGAAGAUGUGGUGAAGGGGGAGGCCGUGGGGGGCAGAGCCUUUAAUAAAGGACUGAAAAUGAGCUAUAAAAGAGAAAGUGAGAGUCUCAGCAGCUCAAAAACGAGAUAAAGACAGAGAGAGGAGCAUUCAGAGCUUCAGACGCCUGCAGAGAAGAUGGAGAUGAAGAUGAGCUGUGUGUGUUUGGUGCUGGGGCUGGUCCUGCUGAUGACCGUCUCGUCAAACGCUCAGCCUCAUAGUAUCGAGGGUCAUCCUGAUAACUGCUGUUUCAGCUUCGUCACCUUUGAAAUUCCAGACAAAGAAAUACUAGAAGCUGUAAAAACACAUCCCAGCUGCCCAAAGACAGGCUUUGUGGUUAAAACGAAGAGCAUGGGCAGACUCUGCAAGAAAGACCUGCAGGAAAUCUAGAUCUGAGCUGCAGCUUCAACACAGCCCAGCUGCAGCAAACAGAGCAGCUGAAAGCUUUACACUCCCAUUCAGUCAUCACAGGAUUUUAUCAGCAGUUCAUGACAAAAAUCUCUGCAGAGAAAAAUAACAUCAUUAAGAUAAAUUCGACUUAAGUGCUCAAGCUUCUAUACAGUAUAUAAAUAUUAUUAAUGCUUAUUUUAUGCUGUGGAUUCAAAUAAAGCAAUGCAUUGCAAACAUUUCCAGUGAGUCAUUUAUAUUGUUAUUGUAUUCCAUAGAUACAAACAGUGAUAGUGAUACAGUGAUAUUGAAGCUGAGUGUGCACUCACAUUCACACAACAGUGUGGGUUGAUGAUACGAACAGCGUGUCGAUGUGUUUAGUCUACCCAUCUUGUGUGUAGUAGUAUUAGUGCACAUUUAUGGAGACAGAAUGUACAGUAAUAAAAAGAAAA